rnacentral:rRNA from 1 species
CAGUAGCCGCGGGAAUACGAAGGGUGCAAGCGUUAAUCGGAAUUACUGGGCGUAAAGCGUGCGUAGGCGGUGAGUUAAGUCUGCUGUGAAAUCCCCGGGCUCAACCUGGAAUGGCAGUGGAUACUGGCUCGCUAGAGUGUGUCAGAGGAUGGUGGAAUUCCCGGUGUAGCGGUGAAAUGCGUAGAGAUCGGGAGGAACACCAGUGGCGAAGGCGGCCAUCUGGGACAACACUGACGCUGAAGCACGAAAGCGUGGGGAGCAAACAGGAUUAGAUACCCCCGUAGUCCCUGUCUCUUAUACA